GGGGAAUAUUGCACAAUGGGGGAAACCCUGAUGCAGCAACGCCGCGUGAGCGACGAAGGCCUUCGGGUUGUAAAGCUCUGUCUUCGCUGACGAUAAUGACGGUAAGCGAGGAGGAAGCCACGGCUAACUACGUGCCAGCAGCCGCGGUAAUACGUAGGUGGCGAGCGUUGUCCGGAAUUACUGGGCGUAAAGGGUGCGUAGGCGGUUUUUUAAGUGGGAUGUGAAAUCCCUGGGCUCAACUCAGGAAUUGCAUUCCAAACUGGAAGACUAGAGUGCAGGAGAGGAAAGUGGAAUUCCCAGUGUAGCGGUGAAAUGCGUAGAGAUUGGGAGGAACACCAGUGGCGAAGGCGACUUUCUGGACUGUAACUGACGCUGAUGCACGAAAGCGUGGGGAGCAAAC
rnacentral:rRNA from 1 species